UACUCAUGGGGCACUCCGUCCCCCCACCAGCGGUCCGGAACAUCUUCCAGGAUCCCGGGUCAGCGGCCUUCGCAGCACGUCAGCCUAGACCAUCAGCCGACCUUCCCAGAAAAUUGGCCCAGACUUUACAAACACAAAAAACACACCAGCUGGCAUUGACCCUCCGGCAUGGAGAUUCUGAAGAUCUUGGGAUCCCGGACGAGCCCCCAAAUGUUGUGCCCAGAUUACAAAGUCCCAAAGACCACCAGGAGGCCGUUUCCAAUAUACAAGAUGACCAUAUAAUUUACUGUCCAUACAAGGACCUUCUGGAGAGAAGAUGGGGAUCUAGAUAGCAGGUGUAAACAAUACUUU
rnacentral:lncRNA from 1 species